CAGUCGCCGCGGUAAUACGAAGGGUGCAAGCGUUACUCGGAAUUACUGGGCGUAAAGCGUGCGUAGGUGGUUGUUUAAGUCUGCUGUGAAAGCCCUGGGCUCAACCUGGGAAUUGCAGUGGAUACUGGGCGACUAGAGUAAGGUAGAGGAUGGUGGAAUUUCCGGUGUAGCAGUGAAAUGCGUAGAGAUCGGAAGGAACAUCUGUGGCGAAGGCGACUAUCUGGGCCAUUACUGACACUGAGGCACGAAAGCGUGGGGAGCAAACAGGAUUAGAUACCCGAGUAGUCCCUGUCUCUUAUAC
rnacentral:rRNA from 1 species